rnacentral:lncRNA from 10 species
CCAGCUACUUGGGAGGCUGAGGCAGGAGAAUCGCUUGAACAUGGUAGGCGGAAUUUGCAGUGAGCUGAGAUCGCGCCAUUGCACUCCAGCCUGGGUGACAAGAGCAAAACUCCACCUCAAAAAAAAAAAAAAAAGUUUGCCAAAGAUUGGUACCUCAGUCUCUGGAUGCUUUGAUUUCUUGAACAAAUGCUCAGUCUCCACCCAGACCCCACUGGUACCUCCCAGCCCUCUAGUCUUUCUCCAAGAGGCAUCUAGGUAUGCAGAGUUGGAAUUGGCUGGAUCACCAGGGCUCUUGAUGACCUCAUGGAGGCAAUGGUCACAAACAGCUGCUAACAUCACCAAACAUUAUGUGCCUCUUUGCCAAAAACUUCAAACCUGAAUCUGAACAGCUCUAAAUUUAACCACCAACUAACAGAAAAUACAGUGGACAGAGUGAUACGUAAACCACCCCUUAGGGGCGUGAUCUGCAAAAACCAGCCUGUGAGAAACUCCAGGUUUCUUCAACAAUCAAUUGCAAGGAAAAAGAGUAAUAAAAGGGAACCAAUAGUUUUUUGAAAAACAGGAAACAUAUCAACAAAUUUCAACGUAUAGCUCUUAAUCAGAUUAGCCAAGCUCAGUGGCUCUUGCCUGUAAUCCCAGCAUUUUGGGAGGCCGAGGUGGGGGAAUCACCUGAGGUCAGGAGUUCAAGACCAGCCUGACCAACAUGGUGAAACCCCAUCUCAACUAAAAAUACAAAAAUUAGCCAGGCCUGGUGGUGCAUACCUGUAAUCCCAGCUACUUCAGAGGCUGAGGCAGGAGAAUUGCUUGAACCCGGGAGGUGGAUGUUGCAGUGAGCUGAGAUUGCACCACUGCACUCCAGCCUGGGUAACAGAGGGAGACUCCAUUAAAAAAAAAAAAUUAAAAAAAAUCUUAAUUGGAUCACGAUUCAAACAAAUUGUAAAACAAUAAGGAAAUAAGGAAAAUUUGAACACAGGUUGGAUAUUAAAUGAUUUCUUUAUAGUAGUAGUAGGUGAGUUAUAUGGAUGAAUUCAUCAUGGCUUGAUAACUAGUGAAGCUGGGUGGUGAGUACAUGAGAAAUCAUUGUACCCUUCUGUCUAUUUUUGGAUAUAUUUGGAAUUUUCCAUGAUAAGCGAUUGUUAUUGAAAACCUACUCUGCGUAUCCAAAGCUGAACAUUCUCCUCCUCCUCCUUGCAUUCCUUCUGCAACAAUCCUAACCCUCCCAGAGGCAGAGGAACGGCCAGAAAUCAAACACGGGACUGCAAUAGAGAAAAGCAACUGACAUAUUUCCAAAAAUAUUAUUUCCAUUUCAGAAGCUUUAUUUUUGAUGGAAGAUGAUAAGUUCCAUUUUACAUGUGUUGAAUUUGAGCUUCCCAACUCCAGCAGGAGUCAAAAACGCAAGACUUCAGACUGGAAGGCAUGUCAGGGCUGAAGCUGUGAAAACAGAUAAUGUCCCCGGCAGAACAGAAACAGAAGAAAAAGAAAAAGAGGAGCACUUGGGAUAGAGUCUUUCCCCUCCUCCCUUCCUUUCUUACUCAUUCAUUCAGAAAUGCAUGUGUAAGUGCCUAUAAGCUACAAGAACCAGGGAGAUAAAAAGAUGAAAAGGUGGCAUUUAUUGAGGAAGAAAGGCAUUAGGUGUGCCAGGCGUGGUGGCUCAAGCCUGUAAUCCCAGCAUUUUGGGAGGCUGAGGCGGGCGGAUCAUGAGGUCAGGAAAUCGAGACCAUCCUGGCUAACAUGGUGAAACCCCAUCUCUACUAAAAAUACAAAACAUUAGCUGGGCGUGCCUGUAGUCCCAGAUACUCGGGAGGCUGAUGCAGAAGAAUCGCUUGAACCUGGGAAGCAGAGGUUUCAGUGAGCCGAGAUCGUGCCACUGCACUCCAGCCUGGGCGACAGAGCGAGACUCCUUCUACAAAAAAAAAGAAUAAAUGGAAGGCAUCUGGUGCUAUGAAAAGCAUUAGGUUUUGUGAUGGGGGUAGACAUGAGGCGGAGAGGACACACAGAAGACCUCUUAAGUUUGACUGAAGAAUUCAGAGAAAUGCUCUUGUUUGGGAGGCCAGAGAAAAAAGUGAAACUGAGACUCAGGGCCAUGUCUGAGUUCUGGCCAAUGAAACUAUGGGGGACCUUCUGCGAAGAUGUUUUUCCUGUCUGCUAAAAAGAAAGCCCUUUUCUGCCCACAUCCUUCCUUGCUGCUUCCUGCUGUGGGUGCAGUGUGAGGCUGUGGUGCUUGGAACAGCUGCAGCCACUCUGUGACCAGGAGUCAGCAAGCAUGAGGACGAGAUGUCAACACACUCAGGGUGUUUGAAGUCACCUGAUCCUUGAUGCCAUUGCUGAGCUACUAAACAAGCUCUAAGCAGCCUAGACUCAUUGUUAAGUAAACAAUAAAUCCUUUUAUAUUUUUUAAAAAUUAUUUCAACUUUUAUUUUAGAUUCAGGCGUUUCUUACAUGGGUAUACUGUGUGACAUUGAGGUUUGGGGGUAUGAGUGAUCCCACCACCCAGAUAGUGAGCAUAGUACCCAAUAGUUAUUUUUUCAGCCCUUGUCCCCUCCUUCUUCCUGCUCCAGGUGACCCCA